rnacentral:rRNA from 1 species
AUUGAACGCUGGCGGCAUGCCUUACACAUGCAAGUCGAACGGUAACAGGUCUUCGGAUGCUGACGAGUGGCGAACGGGGGAGUAAUACAUCGGAACGUGCCCGAUCGUGGGGGAUAACGGAGCGAAAGCUUUGCUAAUACCGCAUACGAUCUACGGAUGAAAGCAGGGGACCGCAAGGCCUUGCGCGGACGGAGCGGCCGAUGGCAGAUUAGGUAGUUGGUGGGAUAACAGCUUACCAAGCCGACGAUCUGUAGCUGGUCUGAGAGGACGACCAGCCACACUGGGACUGAGACACGGCCCAGACUCCUACGGGAGGCAGCAGUGGGGAAUUUUGGACAAUGGGCGAAAGCCUGAUCCAGCCAUGCCGCGUGCAGGAUGAAGGCCUUCGGGUUGUAAACUGCUUUUGUACGGAACGAAAAGACUCUUUCUAAUAAAGAGGGUCCAUGACGGUACCGUAAGAAUAAGCACCGGCUAACUACGUG